rnacentral:rRNA from 1 species
GUGGGGAAUAUUGCACAAUGGGGGAAACCCUGAUGCAGCGACGCCGCGUGAGUGAAGAAGUAUUUCGGUAUGUAAAGCUCUAUCAGCAGGGAAGAAAAUGACGGUACCUGACUAAGAAGCCCCGGCUAACUACGUGCCAGCAGCCGCGGUAAUACGUAGGGGGCAAGCGUUAUCCGGAUUUACUGGGUGUAAAGGGAGCGUAGGUGGCAUGGUAAGCCAGAAGUGAAAACCCAGGGCUCAACUCUGUGGAUUGCUUUUGGAACUAUCAGGCUGGAGUGCUGGAGGGGUAAGCGGAAUUCCUAGUGUAGCGGUGAAAUGCGUAGAUAUUAGGAGGAACACCGGUGGCGAAGGCGGCUUACUGGACAGAAACUGACACUGAGGCUCGAAAGCGUGGGGAGCAAACAGGA